AGUUAACAUGUCCUAACAGGAAAUUAAUUACUGUUCAUUUGUAUUGAGAACUUGAAAAGCUGAUAAUUGUCAGAACACUGCGACGGAUGUUAAAAGUUGUCUCAAAAACAUGUUCAAACAUAAAUGAAGAAGCAGAUUAGAACAGUUCCUCCUGAUAUGAUCGUGGUUAUGAAACUACAUGAAGUUUUUUAAAAGCAAUUCUUUUGAAUAUGGCUUAUAGAUUUAUGGUGAAAAUGUGCAAAUAGUGAUAUGCAGUUCUGCUCUCAAAAUGUAAUGCUUUCCAUGAACUUUCUGACAGUGUUAUAACAUGAGUCACAUGAAGGCCUCAAUUCAAACAAAUGAACAGCUUUGCUUCUUUCUCAGUUUUUGAAUCCAUUCAAAGACUUCAGCAGAGUCAGAACAUAAUGAGAAAUAAGACAAAAUGUAUUAAUAAACACCACCCAGAACUUUGGUUGGUCAUUAAAUUGUUUGUUGGUCAAUGUAGCACGUUUGAUUAAUUAAAGAUAACCUUGUUUUAAGAAACAGAAUUGUAGGAAACUAAUCUGAAGGAAAGGAUAAGAAACGUUUGCAGUUCUCCAAAUAAAUCAAAGUCUAUCCUGAGCUGAGAAAAGGCACACUUUAUUAAAGAAGACAGAAAAAAAGGAAGAUAAAUAACAGUGUUGGGAGAAGCAUCAUCAGUUGUAUAACAUUCAGUGAAGAUUCUAAAGACUUCUUGGUGUGGAUGAAGUCUUUACACAAGUGCAUGAGAUAGAUAACUUUGCCCAAGGGAUUGAUUAGAGUAGUCGGGAGAGGGAAAGUUUCCCUGUUGCCAAGCAACCCAAGCUUGUGGCCAGGCAACAUGGGCUCCUGACCUAACUGGGUCUGGGAUGCCACAGAGAGAAUUGGAUAUGUUUGUGACAUCAGGCGUCUCCCUCCCCGCCUACUGUCAGUCCCAGAACAAACUUUCUUUGUACAUUCAACAUGCCCUGGCUUCUCUAAAUUAUAAGUGAAUCAGACUGAAUUUAGCUAUUUUAAAGAUUGAAGUGAUUCAACUGGCAAACAACAAAUCACACACAGUACAGAAUAAUUCCCUUCUUAUACUGGGUACAUUCUUCUUUAUGAAUGAUUAUUGAUAUUAUUAUAUAAUGCAAAAAAUUAUUGAAUGAAAAAGUAAACACACAAUAUUAUGGUUAUACCCCCAAGAGCCCCAAUUUCCCACUACAAAUCCCACAAGUCAUCACACUUAAAUAUUAUAAUUAGCCUAUAUUGUCAUACACCAAAGUAAACAAACCAGGGUUUCCACCAGUGUAUUGCAAGCCGGCCGGCUGGCCGGGCCUAAGUUGACGCCCCGCCGGCUUAAGCAUCGGGGAAUUUUAAAAAAAAGAAUGUAUUUUUAAUAUGUUUUUAAAACUACAGUUACAGUGGGGCGGCUCGGUUGGAAAGCUCCCCAGCGACAUCUGUUGGUUUAAACGUGAACGUUCAACACUUGACGCUUCCAACUAUCACGUUACCUAGCAAGCCACCAUUUCUUAUUUACAGGGCUAAAUAACCGUGUUAGAAACUGCGUUAUCACUUCAUCUCGUCAGUUUUAUAUUAACUUAAGCAGUGUGUAGGUAACGUUAAACUAAUAGCAUUAAUGUAAUGUUAGAUACAUUGUAACAUUACAUGACUUAUUAAUCGCCAUCGAAAUAACGACUUCACUUGUUUAUUAAUAACGUUAGCUUGAUGACAUUGAUAUGCACGACAACGUGGUCAUUUAGCUAACUUAGCUAGCUAGCCAAACAGUCAGUAACACAGAUACAUACAGAUUUUGUUGUUGUUGAAAUGUGCCCAGCAUUCCAAGGCUGUACAUUGUUGUAAGAUUCAGUAGCCAAUCAGUAGGCAGCGUUGUGCCUAUCCCGCUCUUACAGCUCGUUUCCAGCCCAAACCACUGCAAAGAGAGCAAACUUCUUUUUUUGUCAGUGACAUUUCCUUCUGACAUCUACGAAGGCAAUCACAACCACAACAUUUAUUUUGCCUUUUUGUAUAGCUAUUUCCAUAGCUAAAAUCGCAUGUAUUAUUAUUAUUAUUUAUUGGUAAAAACAUUUACUUCAUAUCCAGGGAGAUAGCCGACUACUUGCACGUUACAUGACAUGUAUAGCCAUUUAGUAAUACGUUCGCAUUUCAGGCUAGAAAAUGCCCGGUUAAUCCAGAGAAAUUGCUGAGUUGUCUUAGAAUCUUUAUCGCAACAGAAUGUAUCAAGGCUGGCAGCCCGGCUCAAAUUUGUUGUGAAAGUUGCCGUCCAAAACAAACACCUGAGAGAGGCUUCCUGCCUGCGUAGUUCCCGCAAGGCGUUACGUCAUUGUUUUGCAAUGUGCAACUGUCGUAAAAACAUGCGGGCUUCGAUAACCGGAAUCGAUAAGCUCAUACAAUUCCAAUGCAUAAGACAACUUGGAACCGGUUCUUGAUUCACGCCCCUAAUUAAACGUGCCCUGCAUUCCAGCGCUUGUUGUAAUAUUCAGUAGCCAAUCAGGACUUUUUUCAAGUUUUUUGUAGAGUGUUAUUUAUUUUCAUUUCAUUUCUUUUGUUGUUGUUGAAAACACAGAAUUCCUGUCAGGGUUCUGUUGUCUUCUGUUGUCUUCCCCCUUGUUGUUCUCCGUUGGGCCGCCAGAUGGCGGCACCUCGGUUUUCUGUUCAGUUAAUUGUUUUAUUGUUUUUGAU